AUGUGGGCUGUACAUGGACCAAUGAGAUUGCGCGCAUGUCGGCCCCUUCCUCAACUGUUCAUCGAGUGUGUGCCACGGACACCACCAUUUUUGAUCAAUGCUCAGGAGCCUCAGGACUGUCAGGAGCCUCAGGACUGUCAGGAGCCUCGGGACUGUCAGGAGCCUCGGGACUGUCAGGAGCCUCGGGACUGUCAGGAGCCUCGGGACCCAGAUGAUUCACAAAGAAUCAAACAGAACAGUGAGUCAAACAGAACAUCCCAAAACUAUCACAAUUCUGAUCAUCAAAAUGGGAGCACCAUAUUCAACAUUUGUACAAAUAGCAACAUGCACCCAUAAUGUUUAAAGUUCAUAAAUACUUAUGAAAACAUUUAAUAGUUGGCCAGAGAGUGUUAAGUACAAAACACGUUUAGAAUUUACCAAAACAAACCUAUAUUUAAUAACAGAACAUAAUGUGUUGAUUACAGGUCACAUGUCUGCAUCCAUCUUGGGUCAUCUGUAUUCCUCUUAAGUAUUAGCCCACUGAGCUAAAGCCCACCAAACUCACAAAGCCAACUCAAUGACACUCCAGGGUUUCCUGUUGUCAAGUGAUAUUAAGUAUGACUAGCAAUCCUGGAAAAUAUCCAUGAUGAUGUGUUUUGUGUUUUACUGUUGUGAAUAACAAGUUGACUUACUGGCUAACACAUACAGUAUCUUUAUCAACAAGCAGGAUAUCAUAAAAGAGCAAUAUUUUUUUUCUAUUUAGGAAAAAGGAUGAUCAUUACAGGAGCAGCAGCAACCGUGGGAGCAAGUAAGAUAAUGUAUUUAGUCAGCAUGAAUAUUAUAUUUGAUCCAAUAACUCCACUAAUCUGAUUGAUCUGUAUUAUAUUUGUUGAUUUUUGCUAUAAAAAUUUAAAAAACACUGUGGUCAAAAUCCAUUGUAGACAUAAGUUCAAACAAUGUAAAUGGAACAAUAAUUGCCAGAAUAAGAAACACAAUAUAAAUGGCACAAUAAUUGUCAGUAUAAGAUAAGGAAUCUCUAGUCUAUGCUCUGAACAUUAUUGGUUAAGCCCUUUCUAGGUGUUACCUUCAAAUAAUUUCACAGUUGUGUUCCUACUUUCUUUUGUCAUUUAGGCCUAAGUCAUUCACAUUAUAGUUAUACCAUUGUCAAACCUCCUAUAACAGGGAGCCAUGUAUGUUUUUGGUUGUUUGCUCAUGCAUGCUCUUGUCUGCUGGACCUUCACAGCUGCAGCAGUGUUGGGGGCACCAGUAGCCCUGGGAGUGGCAGGUUUGACUACUGUUGGGGUUGCUGCUGGAGCAACUGCAGGGGGCGCCGCAAUAGGUAAAAUCAAAGAAAGUUUAAUGGCAUGAUGGAAUAAAGGAAGCCAAUGGUAGUGUUUGUGAUUAUACUGUUUAGAUCAUAUGACUUAUUGAGUAGAAUUUAUCAUUGAUGAUUGACUUAGUCAUUUUCUUCUUUGCUCUUAUAAUAUAAGGAUGUGUAUCCUGUGUGUAUCCAUUUUGGGUCACCCAUGUUCUUUGAAACUAUUAGAUUACCCCACUGAGCCAAAACCACUAAGUCCCAAGCCAACUCCAUGACACUCAUAGGUUUCAAGUGGUAUCAGCAUGACCAGAAGUCCUGAAAAUAUCUAUGAUAAUGCGUUUUGUGUCAAAAAGCAUAAUUGUAGAUUUUUUCCCAGGAGUAAAUGCAGGCCUUUCUAUUAGGUAGCUAUGAGGCUUUCAUUAGGAUAAGCUAUGAGGCUUUCUAUUAGGAUAGCUAUGAGGCUUCUAUAUAGAUAGAGCUUCUAUUAGGAAGCGAUGGGGCUUUCUAUUAGGACAGCUAUGAGGCUUCUAUUAGACAGCUAUGAGGCUUUCUUUAGGAGGCUAUGAGGCUUUCAUUAGGAUAGCUAUGAGGCUUUCUAUUAGGAUAGCUAUAGGCUUUCUAUUAGGAUAGCUAUGAGGCUUUUAUUAGGAUAGUCUAUGAGGCUUUUCUAUUAGGAAGCUAUGAGGCUUUCUAUUAGGAUAGCUAUGAGGCUUCUAUUAGGAUGCUAUGGCUUUCUAAUAGCUAUGAGGCUUUCAUUAGGAUAGCUAUGGAGGCUUUCUAU
ensembl:lncRNA